rnacentral:tRNA from 1 species
GCCUGGGUGGCUCGGUCGGUUGAGCAUCUGACUUCAGCUCAGGUCAUGACCUCACAGUUCGUGAGUUCGAGCCCCGCAUCGGGCU